rnacentral:rRNA from 1 species
CCCGGCGACCGGCGCACGGGUGAGUAACACGUAUGAAACCUGCCCGUAGCAGGGGAGUAAGCGGAGAAAUUCCGUCUAAUACCGCGUAACAACCCAUGGAGGCAUCUCUGUGGGUUUAAAGGAAGCGAUUCCGGCUACGGAUGGUCAUGCGUCGCAUUAGCUUGUUGGCGGGGUAACGGCCCACCAAGGCGACGAUGCGUAGGGGUUCUGAGAGGAAGGUCCCCCACACUGGUACUGAGACACGGACCAGACUCCUACGGAAGGCAGCAG